rnacentral:rRNA from 1 species
AGGACGAACGCUGGCGGCGUGCUUAACACAUGCAAGUCGAGCGGUAAGGCCUCUUCGGGGGUACACGAGCGGCGAACGGGUGAGUAACACGUGGGUGACCUGCCCUCAGCUCUGGGAUAAGCCUGGGAAACUGGGUCUAAUACCGGAUAUGACUUGGCCUCGCAUGGGGUUGGGUGGAAAGUCCUGGGCUUUGUUGUCUGGGUUCGGCUGGGGAUGGGCCCGCGGCCUAUCAGCUUGUUGGUGGGUGAUGGCCUACCAAGGCGACGACGGGUAGCCGGCCUGAGAGGGCGACCGGCCAACGACUGGGACUGAGACACGGCCCAGACUCCACGGGAGGCAGCAGUGGGGAAUAUUGCGCAAAUGGGCGGAAGCCUGACGCAGCGACGCCGCCGUGGGGAGUGACGG